UCUUCAUUUCGGCCACUCUCUCAUCGGUCAGAGAGGCGAGAGAGUGUGUGAAAUGAAGAGA
rnacentral:pre_miRNA from 1 species